rnacentral:rRNA from 1 species
CCUACGGGUGGCUGCAGUGGGGAAUAUUGGACAAUGGGGGCAACCCUGAUCCAGCCAUGCCGCGUGUGUGAAGAAGGCCCUCGGGUUGUAAAGCACUUUCAGUGAGGAAGAACGCCUGGUGGUUAAUACCCAUCAGGAAAGACAUCACUCACAGAAGAAGCACCGGCUAACUCCGUGCCAGCAGCCGCGGUAAUACGGAGGGUGCGAGCGUUAAUCGGAAUUACUGGGCGUAAAGCGCGCGUAGGUGGCUUGAUAAGCCGGUUGUGAAAGCCCCGGGCUCAACCUGGGAACGGCAUCCGGAACUGUCAAGCUAGAGUGCAGGAGAGGAAGGUAGAAGUCCCGGUGUAGCGGUGAAAUGCGUAGAGAUCGGGAGGAAUACCAGUGGCGAAGGCGGCCUUCUGGACUGACACUGACACUGAGGUGCGAAAGCGUGGGUAGCAAACAGGAUUAGAUACCCUUGUAGUC